ACUGGGUUGGCCGAGUGGUUAAGGCGUUGGACUUAAGUUCCAAUGGACAAGUGUCCGCGUGGGUUCGUGUCCGCCUGCCACGCGGGGGGCCCGGGUUCGAUUCCCGGACAAUGCA
rnacentral:tRNA from 1 species